CAACACAGCUAUGUGGAAGAACAGAGGCUGGUCUGCAGGUCUAGAUUUGGAUCCUAGCUCUGUUACUUAGUACUUUGUGACUUUGAGCAAUUCACGUCUCUGAAAGACCAGGACCAGAGACCAUGCUGGGAAGCCUGGCUGCUCUUUGAGGACUGAGAUGAACUUAACAAUGCGGAGAAGAACAAAGAGAGGCUAGUGCUCACCGUGUUCCAGAGGGAUCACCGUGUUCCCUUUGUUAAUUUGAGGACAUGAAUACAACUAUGGUCUUUGGACAAAAGGCAUAUGCCAGGCAGUAUGAAUGGUCUCUCUUGUCUGUGCAAUUAGUAUGUAAGAGCACUUGAAUUGGUGCCUGGGACCUCUACCUGUUUUAGUAUGAUAGCACCACAGUAAAGGGCCUGGACUUUGUAUGAGCUUGGGAAAGUCAUGUCACCUCUGCAAGUCUUGGUUUCCCUGGGUGUUAAAUGUCAAUUUAAAUAAAGUGCUAUCUACUUUGUUUGUUUUGGA
rnacentral:lncRNA from 1 species